AUUGAACGCUGGCGGCAGGCCUAACACAUGCAAGUCGAGCGGGGUUUUCGGUCCUAGCGGCGGACGGGUGAGUAAUGCGUAGGAAGCUGCCCGAUAGAGGGGGAUACCAGUUGGAAACGACUGUUAAUACCGCAUAAUGUCUACGGACCAAAGUGUGGGACCUUCGGGCCACAUGCUAUCGGAUGCGCCUACGUGGGAUUAGCUAGUUGGUGAGGUAAUGGCUCACAAAGGCGACGAUCUCUAGCUGGUUUGAGAGGAUGAUCAGCCACACUGGAACUGAGACACGGUCCAGACUCCUACGAGAGGCAGCAGUGGGGAAUAUUGGACAAUGGGCGCAAGCCUGAUCCAGCCAUGCCGCGUGUGUGAAGAAGGCCUUCGGGUUGUAAAGCACUUUCAGCGAGGAGGAAGGGUGGUGUGUUAAUAGCACAUCAUUUUGACGUUACUCGCAGAAGAAGCACCGGCUAACUCUGUGCCAGCCGCCGCAGUAACAC
rnacentral:rRNA from 1 species